rnacentral:rRNA from 1 species
GACGAACGCUGGCGGCGUGCUUAACACAUGCAAGUCGAACGGAAAGACCCUGCUUUUGUGGGGUGCUCGAGUGGCGAACGGGUGAGUAACACGUGAGUAACCUGCCCUUGACUUUGGGAUAACUUCAGGAAACUGGGGCUAAUACCGGAUAGGAGCUCCUGCUGCAUGGUGGGGGUCGGAAAGUUUCGGCGGUUGGGGAUGGACUCGCGGCUUAUCAGCUUGUUGGUGGGGUAGUGGCUUACCAAGGCUUUGACGGGUAGCCGGCCUGAGAGGGUGACCGGCCACAUUGGGACUGAGAUACGGCCCAGACUCCUACGGGAGGCAGCAGUGGGGAAUAUUGCACAAUGGGCGGAAGCCUGAUGCAGCAACGCCGCGUGCGGGAUGACGGCCUUCGGGUUGUAAACCGCUUUCGCCUGUGACGAAGCGUGAGUGACGGUAAUGGGUAAAGAAGCACCGGCUAACUACGUG